GCUCAGUGGCAGUUAUGCAGAUAAAAACUCUUCCUGAUUGAUCUGAGCGGCCUUCUGAAAUUUGCUUCACUCCAGCGUAUUGAUUUAAUUCUGUUGCUUGAAAAGCUCUAAUUAAUAAUGAUAAUAAAAGUGUCCCAGCUCGUUAACAUCAGCUGGUGUGUUUUUUCCCCUCCUGCUCUCAUCCUUUCUUCUUUUAUCUGCUUUUGCUCUCUCUCUCUUUCUCUCUCUCCACUCUUUAAGGUCUGCUGGUGAGAUGUUUUCUCUCCUGUUGUGUCUCUCGGGUUUACUCAGUGGAGAGCUGCGUGGGUACCUACAAGAUCGUGAGAUUUCUAGUACCUGUUGAAGCAGCAACCUCAGGACAACCGCUGAAAACACAACAAGACAAAAGUGUUUUUGUCAGCGAAAAGGCAGAAAUGUUAAGCGGGGGAUGGCAGCGGGGGCUGCGUGGAGGCGUGGGGGCUACUGAUGAAGAUGAAGCUGUCUGGCUGUGUCACAAGGGGCUGUUCCACCACAUUCUGACUGAGGGAGGAGAUGGAGAGCGAAUGAAAAAGAGAAGAAGAGAGAGAGUGAGAAAGAGUGCCUAAUCCAUCACAGGAAGGGAGGACUGACACAACAAAAGACAGAGUGCGGAGCAAGGCUUUUUGGCGGCUAGGGCCGAGGCAACUUCGACAAUAUUUUUUGGCGCCUGUCAGGCUGUCUAAUAAAGCAGAGCUGGAAUAUGAACUAUCUCUCACUGCUGUAAUACGCCUCAUAAAUCAGAUUUAAUUACGCGGUGUGGGGACAGGCAGUGGGAGCCCUGGCUGGAUUUAUGGGGCCUUGACUUGGCAUCUUAACAACUUUGCGCUUUUAAUAUCAUUACACUGUCAUCUAUUUUGCCUCCUGUCACAGAGCACGCCCAAACUCCCUGUGUAACAGCACAUUUUUUUUCUCACAGAGCCAUCUUUUUUCUUCGCCCCGUCUUUUUUCACCCUGAGAAAAGUGUGUUGACACCACGUAGAAGGAGCCAUUACGCCAGGCACAUAUGCCUACAGGUCAGCACAUUUCCAAAAGAGUGGCCCAGAAUUUGUUCGUCCAUCCGCUCGAGAUUUCACUCAUACUUUCCUCUUUCCUUCCUCGUGCUUUUUGCGUCAUUGUCCUCCUUUCGGCACCCCUCCUUUCCUUCGUUGACCCCCGUUUCCUCCCUUUGCUUAAUCUCCUUCUAGCCUUUCUCACCGGGUUGUUUGUCUUGCCCAUUCUUCCUCAUCCGCGGCGCAGGCCUUUUGACAGAACAAUAAGAGAAGCAGAAGACAAAGAGGAAGGAAAAGAAGAAAGGGGGCAUAAAAAAUGAGCGUGGAGUGAAAGCAGAACCCUCUGCUAUCCUCUUCCUUGUCUUACUAAUGGCCCCUAGAGCGGCGUUCCACAUAGCGCACAGACGAUCGUGACGUUAGCCAUCUUGUUAAUGCUAGCCUCUAAAUGCCUGCGCGAGCUUGGUGACAGUGACAUAUUAGUUUUGCAGCCCUGCGUAAUCUGAUAUUUCAAAGCAUGCUGCUGCACUAAAGAUUUGAUUAAUGCUGUUCCAUUUGGGCUCAGUAAUUGGCCGAGACUAGAGUGGAGAGAGAGGGAGAAAGAGAGUUAGCCGGUGAGAGAGAGCCAUAUAGAGAGAGUGCUAAUGAGAGAGAGGGUUAAUUAAGCUUCUGGCAUCAUAGGGACAGUUACUGAUGACUCCCUAUAACAAACCUCCAUUGCUAAUAUGCACUCGCACACACAUGUGUGCGUAUGGUGUUGGUAAAAGCUGUAAGUUUAACCUCCAACCAUCUUGGCUCAUGGGUGGGGAACUGGCUGCUUCAGGACAGCAGGCCUCUGUAUUGUAGGCCUACAGACCCUGGUUUAUUUUAAGGUACAAAAUGCAGUAAUUACAGCAACAGCACAUUAAUUGCACCGUUUCAAGAAACUAGGCGAGUUACACUGAAUCCAUGCAGCAGGGGCCAGUGUUUAUGCUCGUACUGAAAUGGAGUGACUUUAAAUAAGGUGCAAGUCACUAUCAGGCAUCGAGGCCGCGUGUUGUGGGAAAUGACUGAAAUAUCAGAUUUAUCUGUGGCUCAUUAAACCUGUUCAGUGCCCUAUAAACUGCAUGAGUGAUUCAAACCCACGCCAGGGGCCUGGCUAUUUUCAGCCUGUGCUUCACCAAGCCAAACCGCUCACUCCAUCAGAGCAAACACUCUGACCAAUCAGAGCCGAGGUCAUUGUUUAUGCAUGUGUGGAAGUAUUUACACAGACCAAUGGUGUAGUAAAGCUCAAACUGAUGGAGAGACACUUAAAAUGCUAUUAGUCACCUUGUGAUGUUAACAAAUCUCGGAAGUGAGCAAAACAGACUUAAUACCAUUUGCUUUAUAACAUCAGUAAGCAGUGGAUGCACAAAUAUAGCUGUUGCAUGAAAGCCCUUAAGGUCUAUCUAAACAUCGUUCAUUGUGUCGGGGGUGUAGUUUUAUCUGGGUUAUGUAAAUCAGAUGUGUUGCAUUUAUUCAGAAGCAGACAGCACCUUUCAAUGUAAGCAGCAUUUGUUUCAUACACGGGGCAAGAGGAAAUGCUGGUGACAGACACUUGGAUUGUGAUUUGGAGUGGUAAAACUUUACAGCAAAG
ensembl:lncRNA